rnacentral:lncRNA from 1 species
AUCAACCUCUACAAGACUGGGACUGUCAUGGGGCCAGGUAACAGACUGGGACUGUCAUGGUGCCAGGUAACAUUAGGCUGUUUGAAACAGACUGGGACUGUCAUGGUGCCAGGUAACAUCAGGCUGUUUGAAACAGACUGGGACUGUCAUGGUGCCAGGUAACAGACUGGGACUGUCAUGGUGCCAGGUAACAGACUGGGACUGUCAUGGUGCCAGGUAACAGACUGGGACUGUCAUGGUGCCAGGUAACAGACUGGGACUGUCAUGGUGCCAGGUAACAUUAGGCUGUUUGAAACAGACUGGGACUGUCAUGGUGCCAGGUAACAGACUGGGACUGUCAUGGUGCCAGGUAACAUUAGGCUGUUUGAAACAGACUGGGACUGUCAUGGUGCCAGGUAAGAGUAGCGACCCUUCAGUGCAGAGCAGGCUCAGGCCCUCCUCACCACCAUGGCUGCCAUGAGGGAUGAGAUCACCAGAGUGGAGUGGGAGGUGGUCCUGCUGAGGGAGAGCAAACAGCAUCCAGACAUCUACACCA